CCGAGAACUUGCCCUCCGGGGUAGAUCUCCCACCCUAUGUUUACAUACACUGUUGCUUUGGCAGGCCUGCCUCUCGCUACUGGCUUCGGCUGGUUAGUGCCUGCCAAAGAACCAACACCCUGAUUAAUUUAUUGUCUGAGUACUAUUCAAAUAGUUA
rnacentral:misc_RNA from 1 species